rnacentral:lncRNA from 1 species
GAGAGGAUAGAAGUUAAUAGAUUUUCAUAAUUACUGUGAUCUGUGGAAGCCUCUACACAAGUUGUGUGAGGAGCGGUAAGAAAGUAAAGUGAAAAGGAAAAUAUAUCCCCUCCCCUUCAAAAAUGUGUCCCCAUAAUGGAGUAGAUGAUGUGGCCUUGAAAACUAUGACUUUCGGUAUAAUGGAUUUUUCACAUGAAUAACUGUGUGAGUCACACGUUCUGUCAGAGUGGUGUUGCCAGCAAAUUACAAAUGUAUGAAACAGCAUAAUGAAGUCAUCUAAGAAGUAGAAAUAGAAAGUGAAUCCUAGAUAGACAGUGUUAGGAUGAUAGCAUUCCUUCUCUCAACCCCAGUGUAUUUUUUUUUUUUUACCUUUUCUCCAAUGUACUUCCUAUCACAGAGUUUGUGAAUGAACAAGAAGUUUUGUAUUUCUGCUAGGAAACACUGCUUCAGACCCAUGAAAACUGUAAGACCACUUUCUGAGCAGCUAUGAUGUAUGACCAUUAAUAUGACUUGGAAACAUCCAAGAAUAGGAUUCCUAGACUUGUCAGGCUACCUGGCUGUCUGGCACAUCAUUGUGCACUGCUCUAAGUUUCUGAGGCCUUUGUGUAGAUCCUGAUUUAUGCAGAGGCAUACCCAAGCAUCACUGGAUCCAGUACUGAGGGAGAAAGUCAUGGAAUGCUGCAUGGAAGAGAGCCCACCUGAAUCCAAGGAAACACCACCACUGAGGGGGUUGUGAUGAUCACCUUCCCCUCCACCAUGGGGUCUUCUAACACCCUUUACAGGAUUUUCAUGGGUACCUGAUAAAGGACUUGUUGCACCUUCCCCUCCUCUUUCUCCUUUCUCCCCCACUCCCCAUCCUUACUUCCUCCCUUUUGUGGGGAUCCUUCUUGCCUAACCAGACCCUUCUUAACUACUUGCAAUGCAAAUGGCCAAACAUAUGAGCUGCACAGAGAAGAUGUGAAACAAAUAAGAGGAAAGUUUUCUGAGACUUCAAAGGUUUCCCUACACUUCUGCAAGCUGCCUUCUAUCUCCACCUCUCAGUGGUAAAUUCCCUCAUUAACUG